ACAUACAAACAGAAACUGAAGAACAAACUCCAUCCGACUUUCAUUUCGAUUCAGAUGAUACAAAUGAAUUAUUAAAUGGACCAAUAUGUGAAAUUGAAAUACAUAAGGCCAUUCUUAAAUUAAACAGCGGCAAAGCUGCUUCGCCGCAAGAUUAUAUACAGGGGUGGUAUAGUACGUCAUCAACAGGUGCGCGCAACACUUCCCGAUGCGGCUUUUUUGUGUCAAAACAUCUCGAUUCGGUACAUGAAAGAUGAAAAAGGAAACAAAACUUCUAGUCUGCAUCAAUGGUAUUGUCAAUAUAUGUUAAAAAGGAUUGCUGAGUGAUUGGCAUGCAAGACAUAAUUGACGUAUUAUAUUUUCCAAAAGCUGUACGACAUAAUAUUUGAGAAGUGGAGAACAUCCUCUAACGGAAUUACCCCAGACAAGGAUUUCAACACUCGGUUGCUGUUUGAAGGGGCCACGUGUUCAUCACAAUUGCUCGGGAAAAAUGAGAAAUUACUGUAUCGCGUCAACGAAAUGUUCUUAUUAAUUUUAGAUGUGCGCAGGGAAAGAACAAGAGUGACUGCAACCGAAUUAUAAUUACCACUUAGUACAAUGGGACAUCGAUUGAAUCUACACUAGAAAGCGGUUCAGGAUUUAAAAUUUGACUAAUGUUCAGAUUUUGCUUGCAAAUGUUAGUGCACCCAAUUACAUAUUAAAACUCGAAGUGAGCUUGAACAGUGGUAGGACAAUUUUACUUGCAAUGUAAAUUAUUUCAUUUUUCUUAAACUGUUUAGUUGUUGAAAAUGUUGUUGUAUAAAAGAUUAUUUAAAGUAGGAAAUUUUACUGUUUUUUUAUUUAAACCCUUACACAGUG